UGGGGAAUAUUGGACAAUGGGCGCAAGCCUGAUCCAGCCAUGCCGCGUGAGUGAAGAAGGCCCUAGGGUUGUAAAUCUCUUUCACCCGUGAAGAUGAUGACGGUAGCGGGAGAAGAAGCCCCGGCUAACUCCGUGCCAGCAGCCGCGGUAAUACGGAGGGGGCAAGCGUUGUUCGGAAUUACUGGGCGUAAAGGGCGCGUAGGCGGGACGUCAAGUCAGGGGUGAAAGGCCUGGGCUCAACCCAGGAACUGCCUUUGAAACUAGCGUUCUAGAGUCCGGGAGAGGAUGGCGGAAUUCCCAGUGUAGAGGUGAAAUUCGUAGAUAUUGGGAAGAACACCGGUGGCGAAGGCGGCCAUCUGGUCCGGCACUGACGCUGAGGCGCGAAAGCGUGGGGAGCAAACAGGAUUAGAUACCCCGGUAGUCC
rnacentral:rRNA from 1 species